AUUGAACGCUGGCGGCAGGCCUAACACAUGCAAGUCGAGCGGAUGAAGGGAGCUUGCUCCUGGAUUCAGCGGCGGACGGGUGAGUAAUGCCUAGGAAUCUGCCUGGUAGUGGGGGAUAACGUCCGGAAACGGGCGCUAAUACCGCAUACGUCCUGAGGGAGAAAGUGGGGGAUCUUCGGACCUCACGCUAUCAGAUGAGCCUAGGUCGGAUUAGCUAGUUGGUGGGGUAAAGGCCUACCAAGGCGACGAUCCGUAACUGGUCUGAGAGGAUGAUCAGUCAACAGGUGAGUGAGACACGUGACAGGCUAGUGAGGGAGGCGAGAGGUGGAAAUGGGGGACAAGGGGACAAAGACUGAUCCAGGCAGGCGGGGGGUGUGAGGAAGUUUUACGAAUAGUAAAGCAAGUGUAGGUGGGAGGAGGGUCAGUAAAUUAAUUCCUUCUUUGUGAGACGUUACGAAAAGAAGAAGAGCCGGCUAACUUGGUGCCAUCAGCCGAGGGAAUCGCCGAAUGAGCACCCGCCUACC
rnacentral:rRNA from 1 species